rnacentral:rRNA from 1 species
AUGUGCCACAGAUCCGGCAGCCAGAUGAGAGGCAAGGCAGCACUGAUCUUACUCUUCGCCAUCCUUGUAUGCCACGCGUUCUCCUCUGCACACGCCAUCCGUCAGCCAGAUGACUGGCACGAUAUACUGCGCAAGGAGUGUAAGCUGAGCGUGUGCCAUGAAAUCGGAGGACACAAGAGUUGCUUCUGCUGCUUGGCGACGCCCGACAGCCCUUGUUGGUUCAAGGAGGACGAGUGCAAGAAGGUCUGCUCGCAGGUGCAGCUGCCACCAUCCUCCUCUGCCGGCACCAAUCAAAUAGUGCCGUGA